ensembl:lncRNA
CCGGGUAUAGCCCAAUAUCCCCAUUCAACCACUGGCGAAAUCCCCUCACAAUGAUCUCAAACUGUGUUUCUAAUACACAAUGAAAUAAAACAUAGACGAUCCCUUGCUAAUCAAGAAACUCUUGGGUAUGUUGUGCUAGACUGUCCAAUUGCUUCACGGGAACCUGGUCAAAAAUUAUGUGUAGUGUAGCUAAUCACUGAAUGGCUCUGAAUCCACUGUCAACAUGCAGUCAAAGAAAGUUAUAAUCACUUUUGGGGCUAACCAAUGCUCUCAAAUCGUAUCCUGACGUCGACAGCAGAUGGGAGUUGUAUUCAUAACAUUGCUAACAUAGCUAGCUAAAACAAGUAACAGUAUAUUAAGUGGCUGGCUAGACAGUGUGAACAACAUUUUGGUGGUCAAUGAGACAGAGUUAGCUAACCAGCUGAACUAGCAAACAAUGUAACAAAAGUAGGCUAUACUUUCAGGUUAAACAAAACAUCCAUCUGCAUUUCAAGAAUCACUGUAGCAAUUACUCCUGUCGCAUGGAUAAAUUAUUUAGCCAUUUAAACAUACCCUCUUGGACAAUAAGCUUCAGUGGAGUAAAUGUACAGACCUGAUCUACAUAAAAGAACCAACAGAGACUGUACUUUCUCAAAAAGCUGGGAUCUUUAAAUUUAGACUGAACUAUACUGACUCUGUUUUACAAUUCUUUCAUUGACAGUAUUUUAACUUGUUGUAUUGUUUGUUGGUUUGGCAAUGCCACUGUCAGCCAGAGAAAUAUGCUGAGAAGGAUUAUCACCACAGCAAGCAAGGUACUUGGAGUCAAACAGACAGGCCUAGAUGAGAUAUUUAAGGUCAGGGCCCUCCCCAAGGUACUAGGAGUCAAACAGACAGGCCUGGAUGAGAUCUUUAAGGUCAGGACUCUCCCCAAGGUACUAGGAGUCAAACAGACAGGCCUGGAUGAGAUCUUUAAGGUCAGGGCCUUCCGCAACGCUCACAAAAUAAUUUUAGACCCAAGCCACCCCCUGUACCCAGACUUUGAACUGCUCCCCUCUAGGCGCAGGUAUAGGGCACCCCUCAGCAGGAAAAACAGAACUAGACAAUCAUUUGUGCCAGGUGUGAUAUCCCUCCUAAAUAGUUUGGGCUAAUGUUGCUGUCGACUCAUUAAGGCCAGCAGUCUAAUGUUCCUAUCCACUCAGUAAGGCCAGCAGGCUAAUGUUCCUAUCCACUCAGUAAGGCCAGCAGGCUAAUGUUCCUAUCCACUCAGUAAGGCCAGCAGACUAAUGUUCCUAUCCACUCAGUAAGGCCAGCAGGCUAAUGUUCCUAUCCACUCAGUAAGGCCAGCAGGCUAAUGUUCCUAUCCACUCAGUAAGGCCAGCAGGCUAAUGUUCCUAUCCACUCAGUAAGGCCAGCAGGCUAAUGUUCCUAUCCACUCAGUAAGGCCAGCAGGCUGUUCCAAUCGACUCAAAGCCAGCAGGCUAACCUUCUAACCAUCCGUAACCAUCCCUAACCCUUCUGACCAUCCCUAACCCAAUGUGAUGAGAGAGUAGGGAGACCAUCCCUAACCCAACAUGAUGAGAGAGUAGGGAGACCAUCCCUAACCCAACAUGAUGUAGGGAGACCAUCCCUAACCCAACAUGAUGAGAGAGUAGGGAGACCAUCCCUAACCCAAGAUGAUGAGAGAGUAGGGAGACCAUCCCUAACCCAACAUGAUGAGAGAGUAGGGAGACCAUCCCUAACCCAAGAUGAUGAGAGAGUAGGGAGACCAUCCCUAACCCAACAUGAUGUAGGGAGACCAU